rnacentral:tRNA from 1 species
GGUCUUAUAUUCAAUUAUGAUUUUAAAUUGCAAAUUUAAAGGUGAAAUAUUCUAAGGCUU